GAGUCACGCCUCCUGGUUAACUGAUUGACUACUGCCUAGUCCCCUGCGACAUCAGGACCGCCAUCCCCUCAAAGGGAUAAACUGAGGCUCGGCAUUUCGCAGGGAUCCGAAAUCAAGUCCUGAUUUCCCCAACUACUGCAAGCCUCUUUAACCCACCAGACAUGCCCUUGCCGGGGAUAAGGGCUCCCUGGAAUCGUUAGGGGACGCCAUCCAUUCAGAGGUGCCCCUCUCCCCAGGACCAUGCUCCACCCACUUGGCACUAGAGAUGAAGCAGCGAUCCAAGCAGGCCCGGACAGAUCCGCUGUGAGAAAGUCCUGCCUGAGAGGCAGUCCUCACUUCCCUUCUCCCACUCACGACUGCUCCCGCCCCCGCGGCCUCGGUUCCCCUUUUCUGCUUUGACUUCUGGGGCGUCUUGACAGCUCCCCCAAAAGGAAGGAAGAUGUCUGGUCCUGU
rnacentral:lncRNA from 1 species